rnacentral:rRNA from 1 species
UAGGGAAUAUUGGACAAUGGGUGCGAGCCUGAUCCAGCUAUGCUGCGUGCAGGAAGAAGGCUUUCUGAGUUGUAAACUGCUUUUGUCAGAGGAUAAAAAGCCCAUGCGUGGGAAAUUGAAGGUACCUGGUGAAUAAGCCACGGCUAACUACGUGCCAGCAGACGCGGUAAUACGCAGGUGGCAAGUGUUGUCCGGAUUUAUUGGGUUUAAAGGGUGCGUAGGCGGUUUUAUAAGUCAGUGGUGAAAUCCGGCAGCUCAACUGUCGAUGUGCCAUUGAUACUGUAUAACUUGAGUACUGAUGAAGUAGGCGGAAUUGACGGUGUAGCGGUGAUAUGCUUUGAUAUCAUCAAGAACACCGAUAGCGACAGCAGCUUACUAAGCAGUAACUGACGCUGCGGCACAAAAGUGUGAGGAUCAAGCA